UUCAUCGCGAUGGGAGAACCGGCCUUGCCGGUGCCGAAGGAGCAACCGCCCCGGAAACUCUCAGGCCAAAAGGACCGUCGCGGUGAA
rnacentral:ncRNA from 2 species